GCAGAAGGUGGCAACACAAAUUUGUGCUUCAUGAGUGUAACUUAAAAAGUUAAUGAAAACAUAACGUACAGAUGACUUGCAUUGAAAACAAAUAAGAGAGUAUGCUUCAGUUAUGUGGUCUUCUGAUGAAAAGUUGAAUUGCUAAGCCCCCAAAUCAUACUUAGUGGAUCUUCUCCUGUCCCUCAAUGUUCUUUUUAAGCUACCACCAGCUCCCGCCCCAGGGUACCAGAUGUGACAGCUGUUUUACUGGUGUUUCAAGUUCGACUCAACACAGAUGCUACAGACUUACUGCAUAGUUUCUCCAUCACUGGCAGUGAACUUGCCCUGCAGAAUAAUUGCAGAAGCUGACAUCCUUUCCUUAGCAUAAAUCUGUUUUGCAAACUCAAAUCAGUGGAAGAGGGGAUUAUGGAAGAAGAGAAGAAAGAGCAAAUGGUGAACAAUGAAUUGCACUUCUCAGUACGAGAAAGUAGUACGAGAAAUUAGGAAAUAUUCCCGAUCAGAAAAUGCAGCAAAAGAUCAUUGUGUAAGAUUUCAGUUUUG